rnacentral:tRNA from 1 species
CACUAAGAAGCUACCAACAGCACUAGCCUUUUAAGCUAGAGAGUGGGGACAACUAACACCCCCUUAGUGAU